AUGCUUAGUUGCUAUCCUCAGUAUGACAUGGCCUUUUUAUGUGAUUUUGUCAUAACACUAAAAACAAAGUUACUUUGUGUACAUUUUCCUCCCAUGCUUGCAGGAGCCUGUGCUGUGAUGGAGAACAUUUGCUUUGGUAAGCGGGGGCUACUGAUGCUGAGGUCAUCAACGCUGCCAAGCAGGCCAAUGACCACCGCUUCCUCACAGACUUUCCAGAUGAAUACAACCCUGUGGUGGGUAUCUUCUCUUCCUAGGCUGGAACUCACAUGGAAUUGCUGAACAAAGGAGGGCUGUAUGCUGACCUCAUCCGCAGGCAGAGAUCAGAGGGACAGAUGUGAACAGUACUUUGCAGAGCUGCCAACUCUCACUGAUUGGCCGUGAGACAAACGCACGCAUUUGACCCUCUUUUCACGCUCUCACGGCACACCUCUUAUAUCUCACGAAUUGUAAAGUACUGCUUUUAUUUUUCAAAUUAGUCCAUUGUAUAGUCAGCACGUGAACCUUUCGACUGUGCUCCAAAUCGUUUUGAAAUCGGAGCAUUUGCGCCUGCAAUUUAACAUCACGAGUGGAAUCUCUAUCAUUGUACUAUCAUUGUCCUGUCUUGCCACAGCACUGUGAACCGCUUCACAUUGAAGCAUAUGAUUGGUCUAGUUAUGUAAAGGAUCAAGGUGAUUGGAUGCGUGUUUUAAAGAAACGCCCCUCAAGAUUAGAGUGGAGCUGAAUGGAGAGAGAAAAUAAUUUUCUGAGUUUAUAAAACUAAAGAGAGCAGCACGGUAGCGCUUUUUCAUGUACAAUGUUUUCAACAAAAUUAGGUUGCUGUUACUCCCAUCUUAUUGCAGACUGCAGUCUUCUGACAGCAUGUACUAAAGUCGAUUUAAUCCACACUUGCAUUAGUCCCCUCGAUUGGUGAUUGGCAUUUAGACUGUGACAACAAAAAGGCAACAGACAGACCUACAGUAUCUUUUAGCAAGGAAGUUUGGUAGGAUGACUUGCUUUGUAAUUAUGAAAAUAAUUUUGUCAACCAGAUUGUGAACCCAAAAGUGUAAGUUUGAUUCUAGAAGGGGAACGUUAAAUAUAAAAUAAUUUGGGUAGAGUGUAGGGGCAGAUUCAUGUCAUAUUGUCUUCAGGAGAUUUUAUUAGCUAUUUACUUAGUUUAGUCUGAUCAAUGGAACAAUUCUCAUCCUUAACAAUGGGCUAAAAUAUUGGGUAAUUACUGUGCUAGUCAGCAAGAACACUACUGUUAUUCCACACACUUAUUUUAAUAUUCCACUAAUCACAUAUUUGAAAUCUGAUAUGACUACAGUGCAUUUGGACUGUAUUCAAAUCUACACACAAUACCUCAUAAUGACAAAGCAAAAACAGGUUAGAUUUCUUUUUGCCAAAUGUAUUAAAAACUGAAAUAUCACAUUUACAUAAGUAUUCAGACCCUUUACUCAGUACUUUGUUGAAGCACCUUUGGCAGUGAAUACAACCUUGAGUCUUCUUGGGUAUGACGCUACAAGCUUGGCACACCUGUAUUUGGGGAGAUUCUUCCAUUUGUCUCUGCAGAUCCUCUCAAGCUCUGUCAGGUUGGAUGGGGAGCAUUGCUGCACAGCUAUUUUCAGGUCUCUCCAGAGAUGUUCGAUCGGGCUCUGGCUGGGCCACUCAAGGACAUUCAGAGACUUGUCCCGAAGCCACUCCUGCGUUGUCUUGGCUGUGUGUUUAGGGUCGUUGUCCUGUUGGAAGGUGAACCUUCGCCCCAGUCUGAGGUUCUGUGUGCUCUAGAGCAGGUUUUCAUCAAUGAUCUCUCCGUACUUUGCUCUGUUCAUCUUUCCCUCAAUCCUGACUAGUCUCCUAGUUCCUGCCGCUAAAAAACAUGAUGCUGCCACCACCAUGCUUUACCGUAGGGAUGGUGCCAAGUUUCCUCCAGACGUGACGCUUGGCAUUCAGGCGCUUGUCAUUUUGUACCCUUCCCCAGACCUGUGCAUUGACACACAAAGCUCUGAGGACAAUUCCUUCAACCUCAUGGCUUGGUUUUUGCUCUGACAUGCACUGUCAACUGUGGGACCUUAUAUAGACAGGUGUGUGCCUUUCCAAAUCAUGUCCAAUCAAUUGAAUUUACCACAGGUAGACUCCAAUCAAGUUGUAGAAACAUCUGAAGGAUUAUCACUAGAAACAGGAUGCACCUGAGCUACAUUUUGACUCUCAUAUCAAAAGGUCUGAAUACUUAUGUAAAUAAGGUAUUUCCGUUUUUUUUUUUUUUUUUAAUAUAAUUUAGCAAAAAUUUCAAAAAACCUGUUUUCACUUUGUCAUUAUGGGGUAUUGUGUGUAGAUUGAUGAGGGCAAAAAAUUAUUUUAACCAUUUUUAGAAUAAGGCUGUAUUGUAACAAAAUGUGGAAAAAGUCAAGGGGUCUGAAUACUUUCCGAAUGCACUGUACUUGUGUCUUUGAAAAUUAAUUAUAUGAGGCUAUGUAUUUUUGCAGCCGUUCAUGGACAGUUUUGAACAAGAUAAGUCAUACAAAUAAGCAUUGGAUAUUAAAGGCUCCAGCAAUCAAAUAUAAUUUUUUUACAUUUUAUUAUUGUGCACAUGCUAGGCAGAGAUGGUAGGGGGACUCACAACUCAUAAACACAUCAUAUUUUGUCUAUGUAGAGUAAGAUGAUGGCAAGGAUCUUUAAACCAUCUGCAUAUUCAUUAGAUAUUUCUUGAAGGUUGGGUGAAAUUAAUUAUAAUGUUAUAUUAAUGUUAUAAUAUGAACAUUUUCAAACAUCCAGCACUUGGGAAACAUAGAUCAGGGAUGGCCAACCCUUCUGGAGAGCAAGCAGGAUUUUCUUCCAUCUGUAUUUUAAAGAGAGAGUUCACUCAAAUGACCAAUUUUAAAAUCUUGGUGUCCUUACCUUGAAAGCAGUCUAUGGACAAGCAAACUGUAAUCUAUGAUGUGGUUACCCACUGCCAUCAAUAUAAAAAUGUCCUGUGCAGAGACUUGGCGUAGUGGUAACACUCCCCGGCACGUGUCACAUACAACCUGAGAACAGGGAUCAAUCCCUUCUUGCAAACGUCUCACUGUUUCUAGCAUUUUGCCUGUCUCCCUAUCUCAUUUCAUUAAUGUCUGAAUAAAGUGUCAAACCACCUAAAAUAAUGUAAAAAAAUAAAAUAUUAGCCUACUUUACAUUUCAUCACCCAAAAGCCUAAAAGUAACAAAGUCGUUGAAUAUUGGGUGUUCAUUUAAUGUUCAAAGCCUCCUGAAUACACAUAUUUUCCCACACUGGUCAUAGGCCUUAGCCAUGUAAAAAUACGUAGAAUUGUAGGAAAUGAGCUUUAAAACAGUAAAAUCUUCCUGGGGGAGGACCCCCAGUCCCCCAUCUAGGGGUUGUGUCAGGGGGCAAUGAAAUUCACAUGGUAAACCUCACUCCAAGCUUUCUUCAAAAGUUGGCAGCCCUGACUUUGAUAUAGCACAGAACUGUAGGCCUACAAUGUGAACUGAAAAUACUUCCCGUAAUGUACGUUUGUGACAUAAAGGAUAUCCUUUGCCUAAGAAAUGAAAAAGAUGUGUAUGUUUUAUAACUAGUUUGAUGUUGGUGUAAAGUUACUUUAGUUUAAUGGUCCAAUGUCAAAUUCCAUUUUAUACAAGCCAAAUGUAUGGGUGGACAAACGCGAUCAUAUUUUAUUGUGCCCCGAGGCUGCAGAAAUUGCAAGUGUUUAUCAUGUGCUGUUAAUAGGAAGAGAAUACGAACUGUACACUACAGUAUGUGAUUGAGGUUUUUAAAGGGUUACUUGAACCUGACCUGUAUAUAUCAGUAAAUUUAGCAAGACUUUGAGGGGGGCAUUUAUAAUGAUCAUUGUCUGAACAGAUGAUACGAUGUGAAAAUGGUGGAUCUAGGCUAGCUAAAUCCAUUAACAGGCUGUUUAAUUUAUUUACUAGGGAACAUUGGAACAAAAUGGAGUAUUGCUUUUUAGUAAACAUUUCUGAUUGACCACAUGAGAAUGACAGUGAAACAGGUUCAUAAUUAUUUUUGACUGGAAAUGGGCGAUUUUGCAUGCAGUUCAUAAUCUGGCCUUUAGAUGCCCAUGUAGCAGCAUCAUUGUAGCUGAGAACAGCUAGCUAACGCGUAUCACAAAUAUCCCCAAACCCUGGGGCUGCUUUUCACAAGUUAGCUAGUUAAAG
rnacentral:lncRNA from 1 species